UACGUAGGGGGCUAGCGUUGUUCGGAAUUACUGGGCGUAAAGCGUGCGCAGGCGGCUUUGCAAGACAGAUGUGAAAUCCCCGGGCUUAACCUGGGAACUGCAUUUGUGACUGCAUGGCUGGAGUGCGGCAGAGGGGGAUGGAAUUUCGCGUGUAGCAGUGAAAUGCGUAGAUAUGCGGAGGAACACCGAUGGCGAAGGCAAUCCCCUGGGCCUGCACUGACGCUCAUGCACGAAAGCGUGGGGAGCAAACAGG
rnacentral:rRNA from 1 species